AACUUCGUUUACGGGCAACUUAACCUUCACUAUUGAAGAAAGUGACGUAAUUAAUUUCUUCAAAGACGCGGCUGAAGUUGUUGAGGUUCGUUUUGCAAUAAGGGAUGAUCGAUUUGCAGGCUAAGUGCAUGUUGACUUUGUUACUCGUGAGGCUGCCCAAGAGGCUCUUGAAGUUAAUGGUGAACCAUUGCUUGACCAUCCACUAAAACUUGAUUUAGUUAAGUAAAAAGUAAAUACACUCUCGGUACCAGAGAUCUUUCCAAAAGAGUGCGCAGACUUCAGCACUAACUGCGUUUAUAAGUGGAAUACUCUUGGGAAACUCUUUGGCCAAUGUGAAGAGGUUUCAAGGAUUUUUCUUCCUAAAGAUUUUGAGUCACGUGAGACAAAAAGAUACGGCAUGAGAGUUAGCUGUUGGUUACAAGUUUACUCCCCACCAUGACAACAGCAAGGGGCAUGAGAAUUAGCCGUUGGUUGCAAGUUUACUCCUCACCGUGACAACAAGGUGGCCAGUUACAAAUUUGCAGCAUUUAAAUGCAGUGAGUGUAUGGACUUGAUGAAAACAACCUAGAAAUAGUUUUUAGUUUAUGUAUAGUGGUUUCUCUUUGUAACUUUUGUGGAUCGGUUUUGAUGAUUAGUUUAUGUUUUUAAUUAGUAUUUAAACCGAAAACUUACGUAUGCUUUUUGGGUUAUUAUUGUUUAUAUCAUUUGUCUUUUAGUUUCUCU
rnacentral:lncRNA from 1 species